rnacentral:rRNA from 1 species
UACGUAGGGUCCGAGCGUUGUCCGGAAUUAUCGGGCGUAAAGAGCUCGUAGGCGGUUUGUCGCGUCUGCUGUGAAAUCCCGAGGCUCAACCUCGGGCCUGCAGUGGGUACGGGCAGACUGGAGUGCGGUAGGGGAGAAUGGAAUUCCUGGUGUAGCGGUGGAAUGCGCAGAUAUCAGGAGGAACACCGAUGGCGAAGGCAGUUCUCUGGGCCGUAACUGACGCUGAGGAGCGAAAGCGUGGGGAGCGAACAGG